GAAGCUGACCAGACAGUCGCCGCUUCGUCGUCGUCCUCCUUCGGGGGGAGACGGGCGGAGGGGAGGAAAGUCCGGGCUCCAUAGGGCAAGGUGCCAGGUAACGCCUGGGGGGUGUCACAGCCCACGACCAGUGCAACAGAGAGCAAACCGCCGAUGGCCCGCGCAAGCGGGAUCAGGUAAGGGUGAAAGGGUGCGGUAAGAGCGCACCGCGCGGCUGGUCUAUUCGAAUAAGCGGGGACAGGAUGAAUGACUGUCCACGACGCCCAAAAGAACGCGGCUUAUCGGUCAGCUACCGUU
rnacentral:RNase_P_RNA from 1 species